GCGAAAUAUAGCGUGCAAGGUGCCGCAACGCAGGGUUUUCCAAAUUCUCUGCAGCGGUUAAACGGGAAACAGGUGCGUGUCUGCAAGACAUCAUGCCUGUGCUGCCCCCGCAACGGUAAGCGAGUGAGGUUGUGUCGAUAGGCCACUGGGCAAGCGCCUGGGAAGGCGACACAUCAAGACUCGUGAGCCCGGAUACCGGCCUUCGCGCAAACAGACGG
rnacentral:ncRNA from 2 species